AUUGAACGCUGGCGGCAGGCCUAACACAUGCAAGUCGAACGAGUGGCGGACGGGUGAGUAAUAUCUGGGAAACUGCCUGAUGGAGGGGGAUAACUACUGGAAACGGUAGCUAAUACCGCAUACCAUCAGAUGUGCCCAGAUGGGAUUGGCUUGUUGGUGGGGUAACGGCUCACCAAGGCGACGAUCCCUAGCUGGUUUGAGAGGAUGACCAGCCACACUGGGACGGAGACACGGCCAAGACUCCAACGGGAGGCAGCAGUGGGGAAUAUUGGACAAUGGGCGAAAGCCUGAUACAGCCAUGCCGCGUGUAUGAAGAAGGCCUUCGGGUUGUAAAGUACUUUUGGCGGGGAAGCGUUACCUGCAGAAGAAGCACCGGCUAACUACGUGCCAGCAGCCGCGGUAAUAC
rnacentral:rRNA from 1 species